rnacentral:lncRNA from 1 species
UAGUUGCGAGUUCUUGAAGUUCAUUGUUCAUGGCAUCAAUCCAUUGUUGGGAUUUGAUGGCUUGUUUAUAGGUUUGUGGUUCAAUAGCAUUGGUAAUUGAAAGUGUGUAAUGAAGAUGAGAUGGUGAUAAUUUAUGAUAAGAUAAUACAGAAUGCAAAGGAUAUAGUGAGUUAGUGGUAGAUGAGGAAGGUGGAAGUUUAGCAUUACAAUGAAAGUCUUUGAGGUAGCCAGGGGCUUUGGUGGUUCUAGUUGAUCUUCUUAGGUUGGUGGUGUCAAAAGAUGGAUGUGGAUUGGGUGGAGGAACAAUGGAGGAUGAAGAAUCACAUGGCAAGUUUAGGGAUGGAGUUGAUGGAGUGGAGAUAGGUUGUAUUGAUGUUGGUUGGAUAUGAGGUUGUGAUCUGUCAUACUUUGUAGAGUCAUCAGGGUCAUCAAAUAGAAAAAUGGAAUAAUCUUGAUCUACAAAGUCAAUACUAAGAGAAGAAUCAGUAAUUUCAGCAUAGGGAAAAGUAGAUUCAUAAAAAACAGCAUUGCGAGGAACGAAUAUUUCUCUAGUAGAGAGGUCAAAAACAACAUAACCUUUGAUGCCAACUUUGAAACCUAGGAAGAUACAUUUUUUUAGCUCGUGGAUCAAGUUUGGUGCGAUGUUGUUCUAAGGUAGAAACAUAGCAUUAUGAACCGAAAACUUUGAGGUCAAGAAAAGUAGGAGGUUUAUUAUAAAGUAAUUCAAAGGGAGACUUAUUUUGCAGAAUAGGACUAGGCAAUCUAUUGAUCAGAUAAACGGCAUGAAGAACAGCAUAGGACCAAAAACAUUUGGGAAGUUUGNGUGCUUGAAGUUCAUUGUUCAUGGCAUCAAUCCAUUGUUGGGAUUUGAUGGCUUGUUUAUAGGUUUGUGGUUCAAUAGCAUUGGUAAUUGAAAGUGUGUAAUGAAGAUGAGAUGGUGAUAAUUUGUGUCUUUCAUCAUUGGAGUGGUAAAAGGUUUGGCUGCAAGCAUCCCUGUAUCAGCAAGAAUAUCUAAUGCAUAUUUGCACUGGCUUAAGUGAAUUCCUUUGUUGGUGCGAGAAACUUCAAGGCCAAGAAAAUAUUUGAGAUUACCUAAAUCUUUGAUGCGGAAAGUAGAAUGAAGAAAGCUUUUAACGUGAUUUAUUUCUGUUGAUGCAUUUCCGGUGAGGACAAUGUCGUCUACGUAUACUCGGAGAGCAGUGAAAGUGUUGAGAGAUGACUUGAUGAAUAAUGAGUGAUCAUAUUCUAAAUGAUGAUAGUCGAGACUAAUGAGAGCGAAAGACAGUUUACUGAACCAUUGCCUACUAGCUUGACGAAGACCGUAAAGGGAUUUGUUGAGACGACACACUUGAUUAGGAGAGGUAGGAAUGAUGCCGGGUGGCAACUCCAUGUACACUUCUUCAUGUAAAUCACCAUGAAGGAAUGCGUUGUCCACAUCCAAUUGUUGAAUGAUCCAUUUUUCACUUGAUGCAAUAGAAAGUAAAAGACGAAUAGUAGUUAGUUUAGCAACAGGAGAAAAAGUAUCAAGAAAAUCUACCCCUUCUUGUUGAGUGUAGCCUUUGGCUACAAGACGGGCUUUGUAGCGUUCUAGAGUGCCAUCAGCUUUGUGUUUAAUACGGUACACCCAUCUGCAACCAAUAGCAACCUUGUCUUUGGGUAAGGUGGUGAGGGACCAAGUAUUGUUAGUUGCGAGUGCUUGAAGUUCAUUGUUCAUGGCAUCAAUCCAUUGUUGGGAUUUGAUGGCUUGUUUAUAGGUUUGUGGUUCAAUAGCAUUGGUAAUUGAAAGUGUGUAAUGAAGAUGAGAUGGUGAUAAUUUGUGAUAAGAUAAUACUGAAUGCAAAGGAAAUAGUGAGUUAGUGGUAGAUGAGGAAGGUGGAAGUUUAACAUUACAAUGAAAGUCUUUGAGGUAGCCAGGGGCUUUGGUGGUUCUAGUUGAUCUUCUUAGGUUGGUGGUGUCAAAAGAUGGAUGUGGAUUGGGUGGAGGAACAAUGGAGGAUGAAGAAUCACAUGGCAAGUUUGGGGAUG